rnacentral:rRNA from 1 species
UGGGGACACUGUUGGGACCGCUCUGCUAAAGAGGAGGAAGGAAUGGGCAACGGUAGGUCAGCAUGCCCCGAAUUAUCUGGGCUACACGCGGGCUACAAUGGGUGGGACAAUGGGUAUCGACACCGAAAGGGUGAAGGCAAUACUCCUAAACCCAUCCGUAGUUCGGAUUGUGGGCUGCAACUCGCCCACAUGAAGCUGGAAUCUGUAGUAAUCGUGUCUCAAAAUGGCACGGUGAAUAUGUCCCUGCUCCUU